rnacentral:lncRNA from 1 species
UCCAACAACCUAUUUUAGUUCCCACUCUACAAUCUCAUUAUUGACUGCAAAGAAGCCAUUGAAAGAAAUUGAAGAUGUGAAGUUACUCAUAUCUAUAGAGAAAAUAAUGUCUUAGCUAAUCACACGUCUGACUUAGGUCAUGGGUUAUCACUUGGUCUUCAUGUUUUUGCUUCUCCUUCUACCAUUGCUACUAAUUUUAUAGUUUCUAAUACUAUUGGCAGGGCCCUCCCUAGAGCUGUUUUUUAGUAGCUUUUUUGUUUUGCUUGUUGGGCUUUGCCCUCUUCUGUACCCAAAAAAAAAAAAAAAAAAAAAAAUAUUGGGAAAUUUAUUUGGACCCAACUUUUUUAUCUCUACACCCAAAUAAUAUUUUCUCUUAUCUAAUCUUCCAAAUUUGUCCUUAAAUAACAAACAUUGAAGUUUUCUUUGUAUCUCUACACCCAAACCCCACGAUCCACCACUGUAGGGCGCUCCAUUAUUUCCGACAAACCCAACUCAAACGCCAGCAACACUAAAAUCGACAAAUCAAGACUGGAGAACAAAUGGUGUAGGAGUCCUAAUGUGAAUAUUAAAGCAAACUUAAGUUGCAAAACCCUUUUUUAUUUCAAUCGAUGAAAGGACCUUGGGUUAUGAACAUAAGGAACCUAUUAGGGUUUAGAGGUCCCCUCCACAUCAUAUGCAUAAGCCCUUUUUCUUCAUUCAUUAAUUUACGGAAGGGAAAAUUAAUACUAUUAUUCUCAUAAAAAGUGGGAAUACCAAGGAAAGAGAUCCUCUCCACACCAUAUAUUUUUCUUUUCUGAGUAGUUAUAUCCAAUGGAGAGAGGAAAACAAGAGCACCAAUGGUCGCAGGUUCACCGGAGAAAAUGAAGGUGCAGUGGUGAUGUGAGUUUAGGGUUAUUGGGUGUAAAGAUAACAACUUUAAUAUUUAUUUUCUCAUUUUUAUUUAUUUAAGGGCAAAUUUGAAAGUUUAGUAGAGAAAAUUUGUUAGUUGGGUGUAGAGAUAAAAAGGUUGGGUCCAACAAAAUUUCUCAUAAAGUUUAAUCACGCGAUUAAGUUCUUGUGCAAUGAGUAAAUUGUAGCAAUGACCCAUCAACUAAAAAUCCAUUAUUAUUGAUCCCUCAACUCAUCAAAAUAUGUAGUUAUGGUCAUUUUCGUCAACUUUGUAAGAAUUUUGUCAAAAUAAAUUAUGUUGGAAGGACCAUUGUUACAAUUAAGGUCCUUCAACUCAUCAAAACAUGUAGCUAUGGUCAUUUUCGUCAACUUUGUCAAAAUGAGUUAUGUUGGCAUGACCAUUAUUGCAAUUGGGUUAAAGUUGAGGAAUCAUUGCUCCAAUUGGGUUAAAGUUGAGGGAUCAUUUCUCUAGUUAGAUUAAAGUUGGGGGACCAAUGAUAAUUAAGUUUUAGUUAAGGGAUCAUAGUUGCACGUUUUGAUGAGUUGAGAGAUCAAUGAUAAUGAAUUUUUAGUUAAUGGAUCAUUACUCCAAUUGAGUUAAAAAUAAAGGACCAUUGCUACAAUUUACUCUUGUGCAAUAGAAGAUUAAUUUGGCCGAACAACCUGAUUAAGGUGCCUACUUUCUCUUUAAUUCAUUGGUAUCAUUUAUUUUCCCUUAAGCUGAAUUAUGCUCAAUUUAUGUAUCAAUAUUGUAAAGUUGUCUUUGUUAGAGUAAUUUGGACAAUAUAAAUUGAAAAUUAUUUGUGUAUAUGGAAAAGAUUAACCUCAGGGGUCACUUCGCCGGACUCCGUAGCAAUCUCCACCACUCCAAUCGUAAUGGUGAGUAAAUCACUUGUGUUUGUUUCCAUUUUUUCAAUUGGAAAUUGGGGGUUUUGAAUUCAUAUUUUGUCAAUUGGUUUUGUGAGCACUGAGAAUACACUACGAGCUUGUGUGUGUGUACAAUAUGUUGGAUUUGAUCUUUAUAAAGAAUGCGAGAAAUUGGGGUUAGGAAAGAGAAGAAAAGGAAACAGAACUCGAACUUCGAUCUUCAUUCUUGUUACUAAAGGAGAAAACCGAAUUUGAACCGGUUCAUACGUAAUCGAACCGAAUUUGUAUAGUUCGGUUCACCCCUUAGUACCGAACCGUACCAUACCAAAAAAAAUUUCUUGAGUUUGGUUUUGAUACAUCCCUCAUACUGUACCAUACCAAAUCGUGGCCAGACCUACUGAAUACAAAACUUAUAUCUGGGUCGUAAGUCGUAAGGCCUCCAAAAAAAAAGUUCAUAUUAUUCAUACCAAUCGGACAAAUCCCGCACCCAAAAACAAUGGCUAGAUAGAAAGUUCAAUUAUAGAUUAGGUAAUCUAUCCUUUUCAACUUAAAUGCACAUUCAUGAUGGUUAUGCAAAUCAUAUUAUGUUAACAAAUGCAACAAUUAAUUAUAUUUAUCCAUUUGGAAUGAUAUAUAUUUUCAAAGAUGGAAUUACAGACCCCGUUGACGUUGAGGCCAUUGCAUGAGAGAAUUUUAGAUGAUUUUCAAUUAAUUUAUAUUAUUGUUGUGAUAACCAUAAUAAUUAUUUUCUAAAUGUAAAACUAUAUUAAUGAAAUUUUCUUUGUCGGUCAAAAGAAGAUGAAAAGAUAUCUUUAUCUUCUAUCACAACAAAAAAAUUAAGGAUAUUAAUGUAAUAGGCUAAUAGCGAUGGGGUGAAGAAAUGGAACUAUCCUAAAUAGGCAGUUGCUGGUUAUAUUGGAUCAGGUGGUCUGAAUGAUUGGAUAAUUAGCAAAUAAAAAGGUUCCAUUUUUCAUGGACCCUCAAGUGGAAAUAUGGGAUAAAAGAUGGCAUAUACCAUUUUAUCCAUUUGUGAUUGUACAUUUUGAUGGUUGUGAUUUCACCCGAUGGCGCGGCAAGUGUGGAUUGGGAUAAGGAUGGUUUUGGUCUAUCAUCAAAGAUGGUUUGAUGUUCACGACUGGAUUUUACAACGCAUCCAAGUGCAUGGGUUCUAUAAAUACAGAGUUGCGCACAAUAAAAAAGUACAAAGGACCUUCAAACCUUUCACACACUCUGAGAAACUCCUGAUUCUCCCAACUUCGUCAACACAUCUUCAAUUUGGAUUAACAUCACUGUUUGUCAGUGAGGAGUCCUUAGUCUUCUCGUCUCAUUAGCCCUCUAGGUGAAGUGAGGUGUUACUGAAUUACUUGAGUAUUCAGCACAUUGAAAGUCGAACCUUAUUUGAACUUCACAGUAGUUAGCAAUCUUAUCUUCAGGUUUUAGAACCCAAUGCCAAGACAUAUUCCUUCCUCGACAGUGAUGGUUUGUACACAAAAGUUGGUUUGUACACAUAAGUCAGUAUUGUGUUUGACACACCAUCCCAUUCAUUCUACUAGCCCACAAACGCGUGGACUCGUCCAAAAUUACCCCACUCUCGGCCCGUUCACUUGCCCACUCGUCCCACGCGGCCCGUGAGUCUUCAGUGCCUGAUAGGGGGGCCUACUGUUAGGGCCGUUGUUGGCCACAACCCAGAGCCCAACGAUUUUUUUUUGCAUCCCACGACUGGCAUUUUUGGACCGUUGGUUGAUCCAACGGUCCAGAUUCAAAUUUUGUUUUUUUAAAUGUUAUUUUAAAAUACAUUGAAUCCAACGGCUGAGAUCGAAUAUAAUCAAAUCUAACGGUAAAAUAAAAAAAGAUAAAAAAAGAUAUAACAGUCCAAAUUUAAAUCCAACAGCUAAAAUAAUUUUAAAAAAAAUUAUUUAACUCAAAAUUCACCCAAAAACUCUAUAAAUACCUUUGUAUUUGUUCAAACAUCCACACAAAACUCAAUUUUCUCCCACAAUUCUUCCAUUUUUUCUUUCUACCAUUUCUUUCCAUUUCCAAAUUGUUCAACACGAUCCUUGAAUUGGCCAUCCCAAGCAGUAAGACAAUUCUUCCACUCCCAAAGCAUACAAUCGAGACUUCCUAUCAUGUCAGGAAAGCCUAUUUUGUCUGCUUUGAGUAGAAUGUGACGACAUGUCCCGAAUUAUUAUAUAUUUUUCUCCCUAAGUGUGUAAAGUGACGGUAAUGCCCUCGUGAUUUAGUGACGUGGAUGUACAUAUGUAGUUUUAAAUUAUUAUUUCUAUUGUCGUAGUUAAAUUGUACUCGACGCCAUGAGUGUGUUGAUGUGACCUAGGGCUAAAACAAAUUCGUAACGAAGAAGUUACGAACAGACGAGUGUGUAAAUGCGUAGAAAUAUAUUUUUAUGGGUUGGCUAUACCUUACCCACCAAUCACCUUAAUUCCUGAUUUCUUUGGCCUAAUUGAAUUAAAAAUAUCUCUCAUUUUUCCUUCUGCCCAAUCACGCACAUACACACCAUCACUCUCUCUCUUCUCUCGGACCUUCUUCUUCUUUCUUCUCAUUCCGUACACCCGAGCCACCCUUACCUCACAAUCAUCAUCAAAACAUUAUGGAUCGAAUUGGAAAUCACUACCAUCGCAGUCACCUCGAUCCCACGAACUCAUUGAUACCCUUAGGUCGAGGAAUAGACGUCGGGAAUUCGAGAACUCGGGAGCUCUGGCGAGGUGUAUUUUUCUACUUUGUGAUCGUGGUCUUUUUCUAUGGUUUAAAGGCUUGAGGUGGGUCCUAAUCAACUUUAUAGGGACCCUAGAUUAGUUUUGGAGCAGUUUGAACGUUGGAAUAGGUGAGAACAUGGAGUUGCAGGUUGGCCGGUUGAUCCAAGCCUUACUCCGACCACUUUCUGUCGGUUUUAGAACCUCAAGUAGGUAAGAUUGUAUUCUUCUAGUUGAGAGUUUCAAAUCCAUAUAAAAUUCAUGGAAUUUGGUUGAAAAAUGAUGAAGAUAUUAAAGUUUUAAGAUUUUUCCAAAAAUCAGCGACACAAACGGCGCCCGACGGCCAGCGAUGGAUUCCGACAAAGCCAUCGGAGAAGGAGGAGAAUAUUAUGUCUAACUUUGACAGAAUAUACUAACAGCGUCAGGUAACUCUAUUAGUUUUUAAACAAAAUAUUCUACUAUUUAAUGAAAUAUUCCCUAACGCCGUUAGGGAUUCCGUGCCUGCACGUGCCGGCUUAUGAGGGCGCGUGAGACGUCAGGAAAUUAAUCUAAAAAUAUUGGGGUGUUCGAGUUGUUGAGUAGGUCAUGUUGGUAUAUUCAAACACCCUAUUUGAGCAACGUAUGAGAAGUUAUUCCUAGGGUUUGUGUAUGUGCCUUAAAAUUAAUGUAAAAUUAGUUAUUUCGCAUAUAGGUGAGACUUACCCGGAGGACAAACGUGGUCAAACGAGACUUGGGGGCUACGAUCCUACUACUUACCAGUGAGCGGGCUUUUUUUUUCUAUAUAUAUGUAAAUAUGCUUAUGAAUCCCAUAAACUACUUUAAAUGAACGUAUGUUUUAAAUGCCAUGUCGUGUGCAUUAUGUGUUAGUAUUGCAUUAGUAUAGCUAUGCAUAGUAUUGGAUGAGACUGCGCAGACUCAGGUAAGUUUCAGGUGAGUACAUCAUGAUGGUAUUGGGUGCGUGUGUGUGGUUAUACGUUGAUGCAUUUUGAGCUUAUUAUCCUGCACAUUGGUGUUAGUGUUCUCGCCCAUGGCCAGGGCAUAGUUUUUCACAUGAUGUUCACCUCCUGGGCCGCACGCUCACUUUGGAUCCAAGUUUGGUGCACAGCCAUAUUGCACAGACCACAAUAGGUGGUUCCGACUCGUAGGUGACCUGCAAUUAUUUGCACAGCCUUCACGUGAUCGUAGCACUUAAGCGUACUUAUCUACACCCAGCCCUGUUGUACAGACCACAAUAGGUGGUUCCGACUUAUGUGCAUGCAUACUUGAUGAGCUAUAGAUUCAAUUGUACAGGUUACAUUAGGUGACUCCGGUUGGCAUACUAUUUUAGGUUGAUUCGUAUCACCUGGCUUACACAUUUUAUGGUUGAACAUCUUGACAUGGCAUACCUCUGUUUUCACUGCUCUAAGCAUUAUCCUUAUGUACCUAGUUGUUAUUAUUUUCUGGAAAAUUAUAUGGGUUUACAGUGAGGGGUUAGUAUGUUCAUAAAGACAACUGUGUUUUCAAAAACUUUGUUUUUGCCUACUCACAUUUUUUGUUUUGCACCCUUUCAGGUUCUAGGUAGUUGGUCAUCCUUGGUGGCUCACGAGGACUUUCACGGCGGUUCUGACAUCUCUGUAAAUAAGUAGGGAUUUUUUUCCCUGUUUGUAUAAUUAGUACUUAGUUGGUUCGAUUGCACUUUCGUUUACCCAUGCUCUGAUAUUUGUAUAACUUGCUUGGUCAUCUUUACUCACUUAUAUUAUCUUAGUUUAGAUAAGUUUGGUUUUAGGUUUUUAUUUAUUCGCAUUUCUUUUAUUAUUACUUCUGUUGCGCAUUUUGGCUACGUUACUCUUACGUGACGGGCAUCAUGUUUCGACUUCGGUUGGGGUGUGUCAUAAAAGCCUCUUCAAGUCUUCAUGAUUUGGCUUGCAGAGAUAUGUGGCUCCAUAUGUGGCCUGAAUUGCCCCACAGAAGCGCUCCAGGUUUUUAAUAGCAGUAGUCUCCGCAAGUCGGCAAUACUCAUCAGUUGAGUUUGCAGAGCACUCAUUAGCUAGCAUCCGAAAUGCAGAUGUGAGCUUCUGAUGAGGUGAUAGACUUUGUCGGCCUACGACAUUUAUCUUCCUUGCAAAGUAGUGGUCAUGAUUGACAACUGUGUUCAAGAUGCUUUCAAAAAUCUCUCUCCUCAUUCGAAACCGUCUCCGAAAAUCAUGAGCAGGAAAUCUCGGACGCUCAAUAAAAUAAUAUUUCAUCAUUCGGUCAUGACACUCUUCUCUAUCACGUUGCACAAAUGAACGCUUCGUGACAUAACCACAAUAGCUAGAUUCGACAUGGUGCUCAUAUUGCAUAAGCGAGUUUGGAAGUUUAGCUUAUGCGUUGAUCAUUUUUGAAUCCUCAAUGUCAAGGCUUGCUUGGUAUUAUGUCAUUUGCAUUGCCCUGCUACACCUUCUUCUAUCAUCCAUUGUUGAUAUAUUGAGGAUUUUUAUGAAACAAAAACACUUUGAAAGUUGAAAGAUUAGUGAAUAUAGGGAAUGAUUGAAGGUUGAAAGAUUGUGUGACCAACUGAUAUUGAACAUGUGUUUAUAUAGAGGAUGAUUGAUGAAAGUUGAAAGUUUGGUGAAAGUUGAACGGUUGGUGAAAGUUGAAGAUUUGUGAAAGUUAAAGACUUGCUUUGUGGAAAGAUUUAGUGAUUUUUUCAAUAUUUAUUGGAAUUUAAAUAUUUUUAUAUUAAAAUGUUCAUAAAAUUAAUUUACCAUAGGCUACAUAAUUUUUUUUAAAAGUUAAUUUAAGAAAAAAAAUUAGCCUAAGUUCAUUCUUUAAUAAUCCCGAACUAAAAUUUUAGGCUAGGGUUGGAGCAGAAAAACUGUUUCUGUGUUAAAAGCUAAAUUUUUUAGAUUAAAAAUUUUAAAUUUUAACCCAAAGGUUGGAGAUGAUUUAAGAAUGGAUAAACUUAACCAAGAAAAGAAGAAAAAAGAUGAAGGGCAAAUAAGUGAGAAGCAACAUGACACGACACACGGACGACCAUAGCAAUAAAGCGUGCGUCCUCACGUCCAUUGAAUAUAUAGAUGGGAGCUACAACAUCGUGUUUCACGUGCAUGUGUAUUAUACAUAAAGGCAUAUACAGUGUUAGCUUAUAUAUUAUAAAGUUUGUAGGCCACUUACCCAAUUUGGCAUAUGUUUUAUCUUUUUACGUGAAUAACCAAUGUGUUAUGAUGAUACAAGUCUCUUAACAUAUCCGGAGUUAGAAAUAUCAUAAGACAGUGUUGCGAUCAUAUUGAAAUUAAUUGACAGUUUGUAUUAUAUAUUUGAUUAUUCUUUAUUAACUUAAGGAGACAGCAUACUUAGACCUAAUUUAGUCACAUUCUCCAACCGAAAAUAAAGCGGUGUAGUAUUCAUACACUUUUUUUUAUUUCUUACACAGUCUUAAUUAAUUUCUAUUGUUUGAUCUUCUUCAAUUCAUUCGAUCUGACGACCGAAAAUUAAGAUGGUGUGUGGACGAGUAAAUUAUAACAAUGGUCCCUCAACUUUAAUCAAAUUGGAGCAAGGGUGCUCAACUAAAAAUCCAUUACCAUUGGUUCCUCAACUCAUCAAAAUGUGUAGCUAUGGUCAUUUUCGUCAACUUCGUUACAAUUUUGUCAAAAUAAGUUAUAUUGGAAUGACUAUUGCUACAAUUGGGGUCCCUCAACUCAUCAAAACGUGUAGCUAUGGUCAUUUUCAUCAAUUUCGUUAGAAUUUUAUCAAAAUGAGUUUUGUUGGAAUGACCAUUGCUACAAUUGAAUUAAAGUUGAGGGACUAUUAUUUCAAUUGAGUUAAAGUUGAAAGAUCAUUUCUUCAGUUGUAUUAAAGUUGAAGGAUCAAUGGUAAUGAAUUUUUAGUUGAGGGGACUAUAGCUGCACGUUUUAAUGAGUUGAGAGAACAAUAAUAAUGAAUUUUUAGUUGAAAAACUAUUACUUCAAUUGAGUUAAAAUUAAGAAACAAUUGCUACAAUUUUUUUAUAUGGAAAGUGGAUGAUGUGAAUAGCACAUCCAAAAAUAAAAGGGAACUUUAACGAAAAGCACCCGGUACUGUUCACUUUAACGAAAAACCACAUUUUUACACUAAAAAGUCAAUCCUGGUACUAUUCACUUUACCCUUUAUUUUGUCCUUAUCAUUAAAACUCAAAGUUUUCAAGCCCUUUUCAUUAGUUUUCCUAAAAUAAAAUGCACCACAAUUUGGUAGGAUCUUCCUGUUGAGAGUAAUAAAUUAAUAAUUGCCGAAAUAUUGGAUAAUUUGUCGGCCACAACGCUAUGAGGGAGUAUCUGGGGAUGAAUAUACUCUUGCCGACAGAUGCCCAAAUUCCAACUGCCAUUCAAAUGAGCCCUCCACCACCACCGGCCAUAAUAAAUUCUCUUUCUUUAGUGAAGAAGAAAAAGAGGUACUUGGCCCUCACCUCAACUUUUUGAGAAAGAACAAGUUUAUCGCUAUCAGAAUGUUUCGGUCAAUUAUAUAAGUUAUGUGUAAAUUUUUCUUUAGAUAACAUUACAUUAUUAUAUUUAAAAUGUUCCGUAACGAUAAAUUUGUUUCAUACAAAUUAUUCUCCAACUUCUUGGAUUUUUCUCCUUUUUCCCGAAAACCAGCUUAUAUUAGUGUUCAUCCUCUGUCAAUAUCACUCGCCCACAACUAUUCAACUAACUUUUAAUAAUUUGACAACGUGUCAUAUUUUUGUGCAAAGCGGGCCCAUUUUUGUGGGUGAUAUAAUAAUGGCGUAUGUGGUUUGUCAAGACAUAUACUCAUUUAUCCAUUAGCAGUUAGGUAAGUCACCUCACUCACCCACAGCCUAACACAUCAACAAAUAUUGCUUACAAAUUCUAGAAAAUUCGACCAAGAAAAAAAACCAAAUGCUCGCAAAUUAAAAUUGUGUAACAUGAUUAGUUUUUUAUCCAUUAGUAUUAAUUUUACGUUGGAAGAAAUUCCAAAUUUAUUCUUGUAAAGAGGGAUAUGAAAAUACUUUGUAUGUCUAUCACCAAAAUCUUCGAAUGUUUGAAUGGUUGAUUUUCAAGUCUCACACAAUUGGAUUUAGUUCAAGUGAGAAAGAAAUACACUCAAACUAUUAGAUAUGAGGAAUGAAAAUACACUACAAAAUCUUGUGAACAUUUCUAAUAUUCUCUUCUAUCUACUUUUUGUGAACCAAGUUUUUAUUUGUUUUUUUUUUUAACAAAAGAUAUUUUUUAUACUAGGGAAAUAAGGUGGGUUUAGCCUCAUAAUGGGCUAACAUAAUCUAGUUCAAACUUGCAUUUGGUGAGAAUCGAACCUAAAAUCUCUCACUUACAAGUGAAGAGGAAUACCAUUAGAAGUGUCAUGAAAUUAGCAGUCUUAUAUGUAAAAAAUUGAUUGACUAAAUGCUGUGUUAAAAAACAAGAUUAAUACUUGCAUCUCCCCACUUGGAAAAUGCAAAUAUUUCAUUUCUUGCAAAUAACGUAUAUCAUGCGUUCUGUUCAAUCGCAUAUUCAAAAAUGUUAAAAACAAGAUUAAUAUUUCUAUCUCCCCACUUGGAAAAUGCAGUAUUUCAUUUUUUACGAAUAACGUAUAUCCUGUGUUCCGUCCAAUCGCGUAUUAAAAAAAUGUGUGAAGUUUGGAUUAACUACACUCUUUGAGAAUUUCCUUAAAUAACCACUUUUUGAAAAUUUCUUAUAGGACUAAGUGAGUCUCCGCUGAGAAUUUCCUUAACUAACACAACACUACUUGAGUGAUAAUUUGUUAUAUCUUGAAUAGAGAAUAAAUCAGUUCCCUACUUUUGAAGGUACUAUUAACUUACACUAUAUUUGAAUGAGAACAAUAAACUUAGAAUUUAGAUGAAGGAAAUAAAACAGUUUCCUACUUUUGAAGGUACUACUCGAGUGAUAAUUUGUUAUAUCUUGAUAACGUGUCAUAUUUUUUUGCUAAGCGGACCCAUUUUUGUGGGGUGGUAUAAUAAUGGCGUUUGUUGUUUGUCAAGGGCAUAUACCCAUUUAUCCAUUAGCAGUUAGGUCACCUCACUCACCCACAACCUAGUACAUCAACAAAUAUUGCUUACAAAUUCUAGAAAAUUCAACCAAGAGAAAGAAAACCAAAUGCUCGCAAAUUAAUCUGUGUAACAUUAGUUUUUAUCCAUUAGUAUUUAUUUUACAUUGGAAGAAAUUCCAAAUUUAAUCUCGUAAAGAGGGAUAUGAAAAUACUUUGUAUAUCUAUUAUCAAAAUCUUUGAAUGUUUGAAUGAUUGAUCAUCAAGUCUCACACGAUUGAAUUUAGUUCAAGUGAGGAAGAAAUACACACAAACUAUUAUAUAUGAGGAUUGAAAAAUACACUACAAAAUCUUGUGAUAACAUUUCUAAUAUUCCUUUCUAUCUACAUUUUGUGAUAAGUUUUUUUUUUCCUUUUUUGAACAAACUAUAUUUAUCUACAUUAAGGGAGAGGAGGUGAUCUUAGCCUCACAAUGGGCUAGCAUAAUGUGGUUCAAAUUCGCCUUUGGCGAUAAUCGAACCUAAAACUUAUCAUUUACAAGUAAAUAGGAAUACCACUAGAUGGAUCAUGAAAUUAGCAGUCUUAUAGGUAAAAAAAAAUUGAUCGACUAAAUGAUGUGUUAAAAAACAAGAUUAAUACUUGCAUCUCUCCACUUGAAAAAUGUAGAUAUUUCUGUGAACACGGAAAAUUCCUGAAACGAAAGAGACAAGAACAACGUGCACAAAAUAAUAUUUUGGUGUUAAUGGAUUUGUUGGGUUACGAUCUCUUUUAACUUGAUCCUCUGAUUCGAUCUCCGUAAGGUGUUGAUUUAUGGAUGUUUCGUUGAUCCAAGGGCUGUUGAGGCUUGAUCUUAGAUGAACUGUUGGAAGUUUCUUCAAGGGGCCGUGGGCUUGAUCUUUGAAGGUGGAUUUGAGCGGAUCUUCAAGGAGCCGUUGGGGCUUGAUCUUGAGGAUGAGUGUUUCUUCAAGGGCCGUUAAGGCUUGAUCUUGAAUAACGGUGAUGAACGGAUCUUCAAGGGCUUUUGGGCUUGAUCUUGAAGAACGGUUGGAUGUGUGGAUUUGUUGAUGUUGUUGAUCCAAGGGCCGUCGGAGCUUGAUCUUGGAAGAACGAUGAACGAAGAACGAAGAACACUUUCUUCAAAGGCCGUCGGGGCUUGAUCUUGAAUUGGUGAUUGUUGAUCCAAGGGCCGUCGGGGCUUGAUCUUGGAAGAACGAUGAACGAAGAACGAAGAACACUUUCUUCAAGGGCUGUCGGGGCUUGAUCUUGAAUUGGUGAUUGUUAAUCCAAGGGCCGUCGGGGCUUGAUCUUGAUUCUUCGGGAUGAACGGAUGAUGAACAAUGAACACUUUCUUCAAGGGCCGUCGGGGCUUGAUCUUGAAUUGGUGGAAGUUCUUCAAGGGCCUUUGGGGCUUGAUCUUGAAGGUGGAUGAUUGUUGAUCCAAGGGCCGUCGGGGCUUGAUCUUGGGAUGAACAGUUGUGUGGAUUUGUUGAACACUUUCUUCAAGGGCCGUCGAUGCUUGAUCUUGAAUUGGUGGAAGUUCUUCAAGGGCCGUUGGGGCUUGAUCUUGAAGGAGGAUUUGACGAAGAACGAAGAGGGCUUUCUUGAUCCUUCGGGAUUUGCUUGAAUUUGGGAGGUUGGAUGCUUGAAAGCUUUAGAGUUUCAAAGCUUCAAGGAUUUUGGAUGUGUGGGGAGUAUUCUCUUCCAUUUUGGGAGUAGAGAAAUGUAUUUGUGAAUUGGUUUUUGAUACCUUGAUGUAGAAGCCUAUUUAUAGGCUUUGAGAAUGAAUCACCACCACAAAAUAUUUUUUUUCUUUUCCAAGCACCAUUGCCUAAUUUCCCACUUAAUACAAUUUUAAACUUGAAGUGGUAAUUUUAUGGCCUAAUUUUCCACUUAAUAUCAUUUUAAACUUGAUAUGUGCAUGCUUUGUCAUUGCCCAAAAUGAGAAGAAAACCUUGUUUUGAUCUUCAAUGAAUUGAAAUGUGCUUGCCUUGUCAUUGCCCAAAAUGAGAAGAAAAACUUGUGUAAUCCUUCAAGGGUAUUUCUUUUUAUUUUGUUGAGUCGCACACCAUGUGUACAAUUUGUAUGACACGUGGCAUAUGCCAUGUACGCCUUGACACGUCAAAAUUUUAAUGCGUUGGUGAACAUUUAUUUCACCGCAAUUUCGGUGUCUACAAAUGCCCCCACUUCAAGGUGCGUCGUAUACAUGUGCUUGUCACGUGUAGGAGAUGCGUUUUGAAGUCCCUUACUGUAGAUGUCAAUCCAAUGGCCAUCGAGGCUUGAUCUUGAAUUGGGCUGGAGAUUUCUUCAAGGGCCGUUGAGGCUUGUUCUUGGACUUUGUUUGAAAUUUCUUCAAGGGCCAUCGAGGCUUGAUCUUGAAGGUUGAAAUUGGACCACAAGGAGCUUCAUGUGGUAGAUGAUCUUUGGCUUUGGUAGUGGAUGAAUCGGCACGUAUUUGUUUUUGCGCUUUGUUGACUUUCCACAGCUUUGAUCUUGAACUGGGUUGGAGGAUUUUUUGGAUUCCUCCAAUUGUUGAUUUUCCACAGUUUAUUCUUGAACUGGAUUUGAUUCAAAUAUGGUGGACGCUUGAUCUUGAAUCGGACUUGUGAUUUCCUCAAGGGCCGUCGAGGCUUGAUCUUGAAUUUGGCCGGAAACUUCUUCAAGGGCCGUUGAGGCUUGAUUCUUGAAGGUUGACUCGAACACAUGGCAAGCAGGCACGAGGUGAAGGUGACGACUUGUUGCUUUGUUCAAUCUUUCUAAUUCACACCUGAGCAGUUUGGUCAACGGUAUGAUCUUCAAGAUUGAUGGGCUCUUCUUCCAGUUGGUGAUUUGAUCUUUAAGGAUUUGAUUCAAGGGUGGUGAAACGGCACAUGCAGCCCACAACGCCUAGCAAGUCGACCCAAGAAUUUGAGGGUUAAAACGAGUCCUCCACCCAGAGUGAUUGCAAACCUGAUGAUAUGAGAUACUUUUGAUUUUGAAGAAGUAGCGGAUGAAUCGGCACGUGCUUUGUUGUGCUUGUCUCCACAUGCUUCAAUGUAUCAUUUUCCCUUGUCUUAUCUAUUCUUCUAGCAGAAUGUAGCAUCUUCUUAAGUUCUUCAACUCAGACUCCUUCUGCUGAGCUGACUGUGCAGGCUGCAUUAUUCUCUGCUUGUUUCUUUAGGCAGAUGUGGCAGCUUCUUGAGUUCCUCAGCUCGGACUCCUUCUGCUGAGCUGAUUGUGAAGACUGCAUUCUUAUCUGCUUGUUUCUUCUGUACGUUGUCUCCACAUGCUGCAAGGUAUCAUUUUCAAUUGCCUUAUUUGUUUUCCAGGCAAAUGUGGCAUCCGAGUUUGAGUGGAGGUUCUGGCAUAUUGUUUUCUUUAUCCUUGUCUUUGUAGGUAAGAACAAGGACAAAGGAAAGGACAGGGAGAACGCAUGAUAUGAUAUACUCUUGCUUUCUACCCUGGUGAUAUGAGAUACUUUUGCUUUGGUGUCAUUUGUUUGCAGAGGUACCCCAAGGAAUAAGAAACACUGAGUGACUCGAGAGGCUUUGUUGGGAAGGCAUUCUAGGAGAUGAAGAAAGGUUCUUGGAGAUGAAGAAAGGUUCUCGGAGAUGAAGAAAGGUUAUGUAUGUCUGCCUUGCUAUGGAGGGUAAAGGUGGACAGUUAUAGGAAAUUCUUUAGUACCUGUAGAGGUACUAUUCUUUUACUCGUGUCGGCAACCAAUGUGUGAUUGAUCAGUAUGGCUUCACGUGUUUUCUUCUUUAUCAGAAAUCUUCGACAAAUUGUCCGUAAUUUUCGUCAAGCUGAGUGUGCAUGUGACAGGUGUUGACGAGGCUGAAAAAGACUGGUGCCUCUUCGAUAUCUGGGAUCGGCGCUUCGACAAAUUGCCCGUGAUUUCCGCAAAGCUGAGUUUGCGCGUGACGGGUGCUGACGAGGCUGAAAAAGACUGGCGCCUCUUCGAUAUCUGGGAUUGGCGCUUUAACAAAUUGCCCAUGAUUUCUGCAAAGCUGAGUUUGCACGUGACGGGUGCUAACGCGUCUGGAAAAGCAAGAUGCUUCUCCGAUUUCUGAGCUUGCCUCUUUGAUUUUUGAAUUGGCCUCUUCGAAUUCUGAGCUCGCCUCUUCGAUCUUUGAAAUCCCAUCGAGUGUUGAUCUUUAUAGAGGCACGCAGUUCGUUUCAAAGCACACUUGAAUUUUCGCUUGUAGAAACUCCCUUCUUGCACUUCUAAGAUCUUGAUUUGUCCGACCUCUUCUUUCUUCAACACCUUUGAAAAUGUCUGGACCCUCCGACCGUCAUUUUGAUUUGAACCUUGGUGAAGAGGUAGUCCCGUCUUCUCCAGAUAACAUAUGACGCCCAUCUUUCAUAUCCCCUACUGGUCCUCUUACCGUUGGGGAUUCGGUGGUGAAGAAUGAUAUGACCGCUGCGGUGGUGGCCCGAAACCUUGUCACUCCCAGAGAUAACAGACUACUUUCCAAACGGUCUGAUGAGUUGGCUGUUAAGGAUUCUCUGGCUCUCAGUGUGCAGUGUGCAGGUUCUGUGUCUAAUAUGGCCCAACGCCUAUUUGCUCGAACCCGUCAAGUUGAAUCAUUGGCGGCUGAAGUGAUGAGUCUCAAACAGGAGAUAUUAGAGGGCUCAAGCAGAGAGAUAAACAGUUGCAUAAGCUCGCACAUAGCUAUGCGACAAACAUGAAGAGGAAGAUUAACCAGAUGCAGGAAUCUGAUGGUCAGAUUUUACUUGAUCAUCAGAGGUUUGUGGGUUUGUUCCAGCAGCAUUUGCCUUCGUCUUCUGGGGCUGUACCGCGUAAUGAAGCUCCAAAUGAUCAACCCUUGGCUCCUCUUCUUCCUGGAGUUCCGCCGAGUGGUGUGGCUUCAAACAGUCAACCUCCGACGCCUCUCAUUUCUGGAGCUCUGCUGAGUGGUGAGGUGGCACCUAAUCGUCCUUGAAGAUCCCCUCUUGUAAAUUUGAUUUGAUUUUUUUUUAAGUAUGUAUAAUGCAAAUUUAUGUAAAAUUUCCAGAAAAAAUAAAUAAAAACGGACUUUAUUUCUCUCAAUGCAUUUGUUUUGUUUUGUUUUUGUUUUUUUUGUUUUUUUGUUUUUGUUUUUUUUGUAAAUACAUAAUAACAUAUGUAUUUAUUUAUUUAUUCUUUUGUAAUAAAAUUGACUUUCUUUAAUAAAACUUUUAUAUUUUUCUUAUUUAUUUUGAUAUGACUGAACUCGAAAUUGAAUGUUCGAGCCGCCUACGUACCCUUCCAAAGAAGAGAUCAAGCCAUAACGUAGUUCAAAUGAGUGAUGAAUUUAAUAGUGAUUUUGAUGAUGAUUUUGCCGUACACAGUUUAUGCUCUUGUGGGCCAGGAGCUUUGGUGUUGCCUUUUAUGCUCGUGCAGACCAGGAGCGUUGAUGUCGCCUUUUAUGCUCGUGUGGGUCAGGAGCGUUGAUGUUGCCUUUUAUGCUCGUGCAGACCAGGAGCUUUGUGCCAUGCAGUUUAGACUCGUGCGGGCAAGGAGCUUUGGUUCGUGCAGUUUAGGCUCAUGCGAACAAGGAGCAUUGGUUCGUGCAGUUUAGGCUCGUGCGAACAAGGAGCAUUGGUGUUGCCUUUUAUGCUCGUGCAGACCAGGAGCUUUGUGCUAUGCAGUUUAGACUCGUGCGGGUGAGGAGAAUUUGUGAAUUUUGUCAAGCACUUUUGGAGAGGCGUUCCUUACAAUCUUCAUAGCAAGGAGCCUUGACCGAGUGAUUGAAGAAGUCUUCGGGAAAGAAGUCGCACAUCGUGAUGGCAACAGACGAUCUUUGUGUCGUAAUUUCAUCAUCUUCAACACGUUCACGUUGCUUUGAAGGUUGACAAGAGCUGCUUUGCCCCCUUUCCGAUUGGCGGACUUGUGGAGGAGACGUAUGCUUCUUGUGCCAUUUCUUAGGAGUGACUUGAGUCCAUCCUUCAAGUUUGCUUGUUUUGGAGGAUGCCCCCGGCGGUUGAGGUGAAAAUUUUGUGUUGAAAGAGCCAGAAGUGAUGGUGGUAUAGUUUGACUUCACCACAUCGUCAAGAUCUAGCUCGAUGAUUCCUUUCUGAGCCCACUUUAUGAUGAGAUCUUUCAGCACAAAGCACUUUUCUGUCGGAUGACUGAUGAAGCGGUGGAAUUUACAGUAUCUUGGACUGUUGGUACGAUUCAUCUCUUCCGGCCAUCUGCACUCAGGCAAACUGAUCACCUUCUUGUCCAACAGGUCAUCCAACAUGGCAACCACAUCAGAGUCAGGGAAUGGAUAAGUCUUCUCUUUAAGCUCCUUCAAAGUGCGUCUACGCAUCUCUUGAUCACGAAAAGCUUCGGUUUGAAUCGUUUUGCCUCGUGUGGAGAUUUUGACGGGAGAUGUGUUGACUGUCAUUGCUUCCUUGGUGGAUUUCCACGUAGCCUUCUCCACCUUUGUCUCAAGAAUUUUGUCGUUCUUGUAGUCGGCGAUCGGUUCCUUCUUCCCAUGAUGGGUGAUGCUCAACUCCAUGUCAUGGGCGUGGGUGGCCAAUUCCUCGAAGGUCCGUGGUUUAAUGCCUUGAAGGAUGUAUUGCAAACCUCAUUGCAUGCCUUGGAUGCACAUCUCGAUUGAAGAGGUCUCCGAGAGCCUAUCUUUGCAGUCGAGGCUUAGAGUGCGCCAUCUGUUGAUGUAGUCAAUGACCGGCUCAUCUUUCCAUUGCUUCAUACUUGUGAGCUCCAACAUGCUUACAGUGCGGCGGGUGUUGUAGAAGCGGUUGAGGAAUUCCCGCUCCAAUUGCUCCCAGCUGUUGAUGGACUCAGGCUCUAGGUCCGUGUACCACUCAAAUGCGUUUCUUUUCAGCGAGCGCAUAAACUGCUUGGCGAAGUAGUCCCCCUCCGUCCCCGCGUUGUUGCAAGUUUUGACGAAAUGUGCAACGUGCUGCUUUGGGUUUCCUUUUCCAUCAAACUGCAUGAACUUUGGUGGUUGAUAUCCCAUCGGCAUCUUUAGGGCAUCAAUCUUCUUUGAAUAAGGCUUUGAGUACAACCCGGAGGUAUUUGAGCUCCCUUCGUACUAUGCCUUGACGGUGCUGGCAAUCAUCUCUUGCAACUGUUGGAUAGAAAGAGAUCCCAUGAGUGCCGCUUCUUGGUCUGGCUCCGGCUUCACAUCGAUUUUCUCCACCGUAGGCUCAUCUUCUGGGUUAGGGUUCUCGCUGUCCUGUGGCUCCAGUUGACUGAUGAGUGCAGCGAUUUGCAAGUCUUUUUCUUCCACAGUUCGGGUUAGCCUUGCGAUUGCUUCAUUCAUUUGAGCCAGUUGUUCUUCGAUGGAGGUAACGCCGAUGGUCAUGACUUGUGCAACCAAUAGACGUGACUUUCCUUUAGACAUCCAAGAUGCUGAAGAAGAACGUCAUUGGUUGUUUUGGGAUGUCAUCUUGUGUGCCUCAGCAACAUGCUUUGGUGCCCCCAGCGAGGUCAGGUUGAUGACAGACUCACACCUUUGAUGCUCCCUUUGCUCUUUUAGCGGCACCAACUUUGAAGUGGCAUGUUAAGGAGCGGUUGUGGUGCUAAUGGAUUGUCCAUUUGCGGCAGAAGUGCUUAGGAUCCUUCCCUCAGUGAUUGCGAGAACGGCUUGUCCCUUGCUUGAUGCCAUUGAUUUUGAGGUGUGUUUGGAUUCCUUAAACGGAGAAAGAUAUGAGAGGUAGAGAUUGUCCCACCGGGCGUGCCAAUUUGUGAACACGAAAAUUUCCUGAAACGAAAGAGACAAGAACAACGUGCACAAAAUAAUAUUUUGGUGUUAAUGGAUUUGUUGGGUUACGAUCUCUUUUAACUUGAUCCUCUGAUUCGAUCUCCGUAAGGUGUUGAUUUAUGGAUGUUUCGUUGAUCUAAGGGCCGUCGAGGCUUGAUCUUGGAUGAACUGUUGGAAGUUUCUUCAAGGGGCCGUGGGCUUGAUCUUUGAAGGUGGAUUUGAGCGGAUCUUCAAGGAGCCGUUGGGGCUUGAUCUUGAGGAUGAGUGUUUCUUCAAGGGCCGUUAAGGCUUGAUCUUGAAUAACGGUGAUGAACGGAUCUUCAAGGGCUUUUGGGCUUGAUCUUGAAGAACGGUUGGAUGUGUGGAUUUGUUGAUGUUGUUGAUCCAAGGGCCGUCGGGGCUUGAUCUUGGAAGAACGAUGAACGAAGAACGAAGAACACUUUCUUCAAAGGCCGUCGGGGCUUGAUCUUGAAUUGGUGAUUGUUGAUCCAAGGGCCGUCGGGGCUUGAUCUUGGAAGAACGGUGAACGAAGAAUGAAGAACGAAGAACACUUUCUUCAAGGGCCGUCGGGGCUUGAUCUUGAAUUGGUGAUUGUUAAUCAAAGGGCCGUCGGGGCUUGAUCUUGGAAGAACGAUGAACGAAGAACGAAGAAGGCUUUCUUGAUUCUUCGGGAUGAACGGAUGAUGAACAAUGAACACUUUCUUCAAGGGCCAUCGGGGCUUGAUCUUGAAUUGGUGGAAGUUCUUCAGGGCCUUUGGGGCUUGAUCUUGAAGGUGGAUGAUUGUUGAUCCAAGGGCCGUCGGGGCUUGAUCUUGGGAUGAACAGUUGUGUGGAUUUGUUGAACACUUUCUUCAAGGGCCGUCGAUGCUUGAUCUUGAAUUGGUGGAAGUUCGUCAAGGGCCGUUGGGGCUUGAUCUUGAAGAAGGAUUUGACGAAGAACGAAGAGAGCUUUCUUGAUCCUUCGGAAUUUGCUUGAAUUUGGGAGGUUGGAUGCUUGAAAGCUUUAGAGUUUCAAAGCUUCAAGGAUUUUGGAUGUGUGGGGAGUAUUCUCUUACAUUUUGGGAGUAGAGAAAUGUAUUUGUGAAUUGGUUUUUGAUACCUUGAUGUAGAAGCCUAUUUAUAGGCUUUGAGAAUGAAUCACCACCACAAAAUAUUUUUUUCUUUUCCAAGCACCAUUGCCUAAUUUCCCACUUAAUACAAUUUUAAACUUGAAGUGGUAAUUUUAUGGCCUAAUUUUCCACUUAAUAUCAUUUUAAACUUGAUAUGUGCAUGCUUUGUCAUUGCCCAAAAUGAGAAGAAAACCUUGUUUUGAUCUUCAAUGGAUUGAAAUGUGCUUUGCCUUGUCAUUGCCCAAAAUGAGAAGAAAAACUUGUGUAAUCCUCCAAGGGUAUUUCUUUUUAUUUUGUUGAGUCACACACCAUGUGUACAAUUUGUAUGACACGUGGCAUAUGCCAUAUAUGCCUUGACACGUCAAAAUUUUAAUGCGUUGGUGAACAUUUAUUUCACCGCAAUUUCGAUGUCUACAAUUUCAUUUCUUGUGAAUAAUGUUUAUCCUGUGUUCUGUCCAAUCGCGUAUUAAAAAAUGUGUGAAGUUUGGAUUAACCACACUCUUUUAGAAUUUCCUUUAUUUACCACUUUUUGAGAAUUUCCAAUAAGACUGGGUGAGUCUCCGCUGAGAAUUUCCUCAACUAACACCACACUACUUGAGGGAUAAUUUGUUAUAUCUUUGAAUAAAGAAUAAAACAGUUUCCUACUUUUGAAGGUACUAUUAACUUACACUAUAUUUGGAUGAAGGUCAAACUUUAUAAAUUGACAUACACCAAAUUCUUUGUUUGGAUUCAUAAACAUAUAAAUUUAGAAUUUCCGCGUGGAAAAAAAAAAUACUUAGAAUUUGAGACCUCCAAUUCUCAAAUUGAAAGUUUAAAAAUAAUAAAUUCCGUAUUCAAUUCAAUUGUUCUUUUAGGUUAACCAAAUAAGAAAAUUCACAAAUUCUAAAAUAUAAAAUCUCAUCAUUUCAAUUUCCGUCAUUUUAAAAUUCCUUAGUAAUAUUAAAUUUCUUCAUCCAAACAUAGUGUUAAGAAAUUUUUUAAAGAUACACUAUUUACACUCAUUUUUAUUUCUUACACAUUUAUUAACUUUGUCCAUUGAUUUCUUCAAUUCAUUUUGCCAGUUAUACAAAAAUUGAGAACAGUAUUUAUGAAUUAAAAAUACAUUUGUAGAUGUCACUACCAAAUUUUUAUUCCUAAUUCAAGAAAAUCUUAUCCAUAUAUGAUUGCCCUUGCCCACUUUAAAUGGGUGCCAUCACUUUACGAUAGAGCAAUCCUAACCGUCCACCUAGGUAAGCAUAACUGGCGAUGCAUGUCGCAAGGGGACCGCAUUGCACAAUAUAAUUAUACUAGUUGAUAAGACAAGUGAUGUCAAUCAAUAAAUUAUUUCAUUAAAACUUAGUUGUAUGUAUCAUAUGUUGUAAUGUAGGGUGUAUGAUAUGCUGACGCUGUAAAAAAAUGUAACCUUUUUAAUAUUACUCAUAAUAGUAAGACUUACCAGUAUUAGGAUGUUAUCAGUGGAAUGAGAAUCCUCUCCAGAUCUUUUUUGUGAGCUAUUAUUUGUAUUUAAUUUUAAAUAUAAAAAAUUAAAAUAAUUUAUGACGGCAGUGAUUCACAUGAUCUUCACAAAGAGAAUCCAAAUAAUCUUAAUUUAUAUCAGUGUGUCUAGAUAACAUGAUCGAGCCCCUUUACUUUUACCCUAUUUAGUAUUUUACAUUUGAACCUGUAAAUAUUCGAUUUUUCUUUGGUGCAACCGAGCACCAAAUAUAGAUUUUUUUUCACUUUUAUAUAAUGAUAAAUAAAGGGCAAUUGGCAGAUUUGAAUUCCAUUCGGAUUGGUCAAAAAUCAUUUUAAAUUGUUUUAUUUAAAAUUAAACACAUAUAGUACUUAAUAAAAAUUAGUCGUACAAUAUACGAUAAACAGAUAUAAUGUAAGGACCUUUAUGAUCUUCACAAAAAAGAUCCAAAGGUUGUGUAGCUGUUUCAAAAGGAUAAUACUCACUUUUGAUUAGUUCAAUGAAAUUUUAAACAUGUUUUAUUGUUUUAAAAAAUAAUAAACAUAUUUAUUAAUGUUUGUUUUACUUUAAAAAAUAAGCAGCACUUGACAACAUUUGAUUGUGCUAAAUAAAAAAUGAGUGACCACUUAGUACUACAGUCUUAUGAUAUUUUUCUUCAUUUGAAAGUGAGAGGUUUUAAGUUCGAAUCUCGUGGAUGACGAAUUUGAUAUCAAAUUAGAUUGCUCACUAUGUGGCUUAGCCGAACUCUCAUUUCCUUUAAUGUAAAAAUAUUGAUGUAUUCAAAAAAAUAAAAAGUGACUAUAGAGGACACUCAAUCUCAGCUGUAUGAUUAAAUCAGACGGUAAGAAAAAUUCUGCAAGCAUACUCGGUUACAUUAAUUGAAGAAAAAAUGGGUAAAUAUUGGGCACCAACGUUAUAAAUACCCUCCACCAUGCACCCAACUCCCUCACACCAUCACAACCCACGUUACAAAUCCUCCUCCUCAUCAUAACCAUUCUGUUUUCCGCAUAAUAUCCAAAAACCUAUCAUGUCUGAAGAGAAACACCACCGCGGUCUCUUCCACCACCACAAGGAUGAAGACAAACCCUCAGACUACCCUCAGUCUGGCUACUCUGAUGAAGGACGUCCCGGCGGCCUCGGUGGUGGUUACGGCGACACCAAUGAUUAUUCUGGUGAAGGACGUACCGGCGGCCUAGGUGGUGGCUAUGGCGACACCAAUGCUUAUUCUGGUGAAGGACGUCCCGGCGGCUAUGGCGGCUAUAACGAGACCACUGCUUACUCUGAGGAAAGAGUUGAAAGACCCGGCGGUGGCCGGUACAGUGAGACUACUGCGGCAUAUGGCAGCACCACCACUCAUGAAUCUGAACUUGAUUACAAGAAGGAGGAGAAGCACCACAAGCAUCUCGAGCACCUCGGCGAGGCCGGUGUAGCUGCUGCCGGCGCUUUUGCCUUGGUACGUAUUGUAUUUUAACCCACCUCUAUAUAUAUAUAUAUUAGAAUAAUGCUAAUAAGACCAAAUUUUGAAAACUAAAUGAUGUGGUUGUUGAUAAUGAACUUAUUACUCAAGUCUUGAUUAACAUGCUUAUUUUCUAAUAGUGACACAUUAUUUGGUUUAGAAAUUUGGUCUUCCUAACUUUAUCAUUCUCAAAAUUUUCAUGAUUUUGAUAGGGUAAUACGGGAGAUCAAAAUUUCUAAACCAAAUUUGCAAACCAAUAGAUGAUUGGAUUAUUAAUUAAGUAUCGAUUGUUUGUUUCUUAUUAACGACAUAUCAUUUGAUUUACAAUUUAGUUAAAAAAAAUUUAUUCUUUCUGUCAUAUCCUUUUGAAUAUUUGAUCACUUUACUCUUUAUCACUUUACCCUUGAUCACUUUACCCAUACUCUUGCAACCGAAUCACCGUCCUCCUCCUUAACCUUCAUUUUUUUGUCUUACAGUACUCCAAUCUAUCAACUCUGUCCAUUGCAACUUUAAUUGUGAAGAAAAUUAAAGUCCUAUCGUAAAAUUAAUUAGUGAUAUGGAGAGUUGCGCAAUUAUUGAUGGACUAGGUAGGUAAGAUACGGAAUCAAAGUCUACCAUUAACAAUGGACGGAAUUGAUGAACCAUAUAGGUAUGUAAGAUACGGAAUCAAAGUCCUCAUGUAAAUGGUACAGUUGCAAUCAGGAGAAGAAAUGAGUUAACUGAUACCUUCGUAAUAGUUCAUGUAGAGUUUUGAUAUUAUUAAGCCUUAACCACCUGAUCUUAUAUAUACGAGGACAAAUCUAAUCAAAUAUGUGUUAAUUUCAAGGUUUGUUUUACAUUGAUGUGAGAUCGAUGCUAGCAAGAUAUAUAACUUAUGUCAGUUUCUAUAUGAUGUGUGUAGCAUGAGAAGCACAAUGAAAAGAAAGACCCAGAGCAUGCCCACAGGCACAAGAUAGAAGAGGAGAUUGCUGCAGCAGCUGCAGUUGGUUCGGGUGGAUUUGCCUUCCAUGAGCAUCAUGAGAAGAAAGAGACAAAGGAAGAAGAGGAAGAGGCUUAUGGAAAGAAGAAGCACCACCACUUCUAGAUCUAUGUGGAUUGUGGAACAUCAUCUUUUGACUACAUAUGCAAUGUUGUGUUUUUACUAGUUAUCAUGUGGUGUGAUCAGUGAGAGUGUGAUGCUUAAUCUCAACAAUAUCGCUACAAUAGUUGAGUGGUUAAAUGUCCUUUUCAAUUAAUGGGUGCUAUCUGGUUUUCUUUUAGCAUGCCAUCUAUGUAUGUAUGUAUGUAUGUAUGUCAUUGUUAUUGUUCAUAAUAAUACUGUUUACUCGGUGUUUAUUUCCUAGUGGCCACAUCUCAUUUUAAAUGAUUUCUUCAUACCAUUAAUUUUUUAAAUGUAAAGACUCAGUAUCCAUAUAACUACGAAAAUUUUUGACAAAACAAAAACAAGAAAAAAGAAAAGGAAAAAAUGGCUUAGCAAGUUUGUAUCCUAUAAGACAAAUGGGUACGUGGAACGAUGGACAUCUCACAAUGGUUUUUGAAUCGUCGGAUCAUCAUGGUUGGACUAUAUAAUUAUCAUUGAUAUAAUAUAAAUUUUGAUUUUUUUUUAGGAAAUUAAUAUCUGAAAACAAUAUUGAUGUACUGCAUUUGUUUUGGACGAUAUUAUACUUUAAUCCAAAUUUUGAGAAAAAAAAAACAUAUCGAACUCAGGUGUACAAGAGUGGCUUUGCUACCCAUGUACAGGGCUAGUUCUGAGUUUUUGGGUGCCCAGUGCGAAAGCUCAAAAUGUGACAUUUUUUAAUACGAAAACAUAUAUUAAAAAAAAUAUUUAAUGAGGGCUGGAACCCAGUCGAAGCUGGAGGGCUAGGACCUCACGCCCAAAUUAUAUUACUUGAGAAAAUAUACAACUGAGGAGGGGACAUGGUACCUAAACCCCGACAAUCAAAAGUACAAUCAUAUACAACCACUCCUAGCAAAUCUCCUUCAAAUUUCAACCUUUAAGAAAUUGUCUUCUGGCAUUUUUUGAAGCAAAAUCAUCAAUUAUAUCAUCAUACUCCAAGUCUUCAAUCUCAUCAUUUUCAAUGCAUAAGAUUGCUAAUCCAUUUAGCCUAUCUUGAGUCAUAGUGGUCCGCAAGUAAGAUUUUAAUAAUUUCAAUUUUGAAAAACUUCUUUUUGCAGAUGCCAUGGUCACAAGUACAGUUAACAGUACACGAUAAGCAAUCAAGACAUUAGGACACAUGUCAGUUUCUUUUACAAAAUUUGCUAUUUCCAUGGAUGUCCAAGGGUUAUUAGAGAGAAAUGCUUCUUCAGGUAAUAUCAUUUGCAAAACCUGCAAUUCGGAAUAUAAGUCAACUCCAUCUACAUCCAUGGUAUUUCCAUGUUUCAAAUGUGCUUCAAGAUUCAUACAAUUUUCUUUUAGCUCUUGAUCAUCCAAUGAAAUUAACUUUGGUGCAUCAAACAAGAAGCCAAAAAUAGAUUCAAAGGAUUUUAACUGUUCAAACUUGUGUUUCAGUUGAGAAAGAGCAAUAUCCACUAUAACAAGAAAAUAAUAUUUCCUAAAUGAUUCUUUAGCAGAUUAUUGUUCCCUCUCAUUACCAUCAACUUCAUCAUGAUGUCUUUUUCUAGGUCUAUGACAUUUAGUUUGAAAAAACAGGGUCAAUUUCCAAAUCAAGUGCAAUUUCAUUAGCAUCACUCAUGGCGGAAGCAAAACCAGUUUCUCUGUAGUUUCCAAAAAAUGUAACAAAUGCUUCAAAUGCCUUUACAGCAACAUCAAGACGCAUGUCUUUAGAUUGUAAUUUUAUGCUCACCAUGUUAAUCUUCAACAAAAUGUCAUACUAAAUAACCAAACUUAAUACAAAAUCAAAACUUGAAAGUUCGCCUGAUGCUAAACAUCUUGCAUCCCUACUUAAUUGAGGAUUUUCAGUAAUUUCCACCAAUUAAACAAAGCAUUUCUAACCUGGGCUACUUGAGACUUAAUUGCUUUAACAUUUUCAAUGUGACUUUCCCAUCGAGUAGUUGACAAUGACUUCAAAGUUAAACCAUCAAUAUGUUCAACCAAAAUAUUCCAACGCUUUGUAGAGUUGGAAAACACCAUAUAUAUGCAUUGACAUGCUCUAAAAAAAGAUUUUGCUUUAAGACAUGAACUUGCCAUAUCACAAACUAUUAAAUUAAGCUAAUGAAAACCACAUGGCAUGUAAAAGGCUAUGGGAUUUAUGUCUAACAAUCUUUUCUGGACAACUUGGUGUUUCCCUCUCAUGUUAGAUCCAUUAUCAUAACCCUGUCCCCUCAUAUCAUCAAUAUCAAGGUCUAAAAUAUCGAUAUUAUCCCGAUAUUUCUUUCGAAAUUUCUGUGUUUUUGGAUUACCGAUAUUUCCGAUAUCAUCGAUAUUUUAGACCUUGAUAGGAACUCUAUGUGAUACUAAGUCACUCAUGUAUCUUACCAUGCAAUGUAUAAAGUGUAAAAUAUUGUAUUAAUUCAUUAUAUAUAAAUGAUUAUGGUGUGUUUAACUUCUUUCAUUAAUUACUACAUAUUUUCUACACUCAAAAUGUUUGUCAGCUCACUAUAUAAUCAACUUAAAUAAGUUAAAUCCAUCAUGAAAUGCAUUUCGUUCCAAUUUUUUGUAAUAAACUAGUAGAUAAUUGACUAAAUAAACAUCCUGCAAAGUUUCAAUAAAAAUUUCCAAGUUUUUCUUAUAAUUUCCGUGGUUUUUAUUCAAUUUUUAUCGAUAUCGAUAAUAUCCCGAUAUUUCCAUCAAAAUUUCCGUAUUUUUGGACUAUCAAUAUUUUCGAUAUCAUUGAUAUUUUAGACCUUGAUCAAUAUCAAGAUCAAGAGAUUUUAGGACAUCUUGCAGCUCGUUAAAAAGCCCUUGUCCUAAUGUAUCUUUCACACUUAAAAACUCCAUGAAAUACUCCCUUAUAUUUAUUGACCUACUUGACAAGUCAACACAUCACAAAAUUAAAGUCAUCUGUUCCACAUGACUUGCAUUAGGAGUACAAUCAAGAAUGACAAAAAAAAAUUUGGCUUCUUUUACUUUUUUAAUGAUUGCGGUUUUGACUUUUGAAGCUAAAGUAGCUAUCAACUCAUUUUUGUUGGAAAUGUGCCCUAAAACCAAUCAUAUGAUGAUACUUUACGAACGUUUCACAUGUUAAACUAAUAUAGUUUAAUAUAAAGGGCAAAAAUUAUUGUUUGUAGCCGUCUCAUAUAAAUGUUAUACGCUUAAACGAUAAGUCCAAGGAAUAUGUAAUUGGGAGAAUGCGAUCUAAAGAAGUUAGAUUCAUGAGACCAUUCUCUUCCGUAUACAUAUCCUAAACGUUACUGAUCAUAGGAUUGUCAAUUGGGCAUUGAUAGUCUGUUAAGAUCAGUACGUGUUAUGUCUUCUCUUAAGGAGAGUGACUGGUCUCGAGUCAUUGGUGUGACUGACACCAAGACAAGCAUGUAGGUGCUCAAUAGAGAAUGAGUCCACUGAACACGAUCAACAAGGAGUUCUCAUACUCAUGUCACAUGAGAACUCGUGGUUGGAAUAAUGCAAAGUAGUCAUUUGACCUGAGGCAUCAUAGUUGUCUUGUGGUUAGGUCCUUGAUCUUUGACUAUGUCAAAGUCACUCCGUCAGAGGGUGUCCAUUGCAUAGUUGGGGUUAAGCCACUUAGCCAUGGAGGCAAGUGAAUGCACAAUAAGGGAUCUCUAACCUUCAAACUAUUUGAGGGAGAAUACUCUAUGAUAUGAUUAAGAAUCUCUGGCCAGAGUAUGAAUGAUAUUUAAGAAGUCGUUCCAAAUCACAUUCAAGGUAAUCAUAUAAGUAAGAGAAUCACAUUGGAUAGUAGACAUGAAUAAACUAUCAAACCAAACAAUGUGGUCAAGAGUAUUGUAUUAGAGUAAGACCGUAUUGCAUUGUAAUCCUAAACUAAAUAGGUUCUCCACCUCUUCUGAUCAGCUUGGGUAACCAUGACAUACUGCUAGGUGUUACUCAUGAUUUGUGGAAGCCCUAAACGUGUAUAAUCACUAAAGGGAGAAUUGAAAGUAAGUUUCAAUUUACAAUCGAUUUGAAAGAGUUCUAAUCGCUCACUGCCUCGCUAAAAGGAACCUAAUGGAUCGUACACCGUGUAAGGUAGAGAUUGAAAAAACAACGGAGAUAAGUAAGGACAAUUAAAUGGUUUAAUUGUUUAUGACAAGAAUUAAUUAAUAUGUUAAUUAAUCAAACGAAUAAGUUCGGGUUAAACCUUGAGUUAGUUUUGGGCAUUAAAGCCCAAAUUGGGCUUCGAAUCUUCAAACCCAUUAGCUUAAGUUGUAUGACAACUUAACAAACAAAAUUCAAGAAGCCCAAAACAGCCCAAAGGCUUGGGAAAACCAGCCAUAUAGAGAGGGGUAGUGAACUUGGCUUAAUUGCAAGUUUGCCAUUCCAUUGUGAGGUGGUAUAAAGGCAACUUUAUAGCCAUUUCAUCCUUAGGGUUUCUUUUGGAGAAAAGAUGAGAACACAAGCUCCCUUUUCUCUCUAAGAGGCUGGCCACCCUAGAGGAUUUUAGCUAGCAAUCUUACUUCCUCUAGGUCACUCAUCUCUUCUUCAAGUCAUUCCUUGGUGUGGAGACUUAGAGGUUCCUUUCAACCAUCUUCAUCCAAGAAAUCCAUGGAGCUAAGAAGCAAGGAAUGAAGGCCCUCGCCUUGGGUGAUUAGCCUUUGCUUAUGCAAAGAGGAAUCAACAAAGGUAUAAAAUUUCUCAACUCACUUUGUUCUUGAGUUGAGUCUUGGUUCACAUAACUACUAGGCUUUGAAUUUCAUGGGUAAUGUUUUGUUUUGAGUGCAUACAAGCAUGAUUCCGCCUUUAAUUGUUAAUUGCAUGCCAUAGAUGUUGCUCAAAUGAACAUGUUUCUCACAAAAUUUCCUUCAAUUUUGAAUUUUAUGGCUCAAAUAGUGAUGAUGAAUCUCUUUAUUCUCAAUAAGUCGAAAAUGCUAUUGCAUUAUUGGAUCAAACUCCGCAUUCAUUUCAAGUAAACCUAAGAAGUUGCCAUUAGAGUCUUCAUAAAGUCUUUCAUUUGUUCCACGAAAUGCUAAAUUACGUAUGGCAAGACAUUUCAUAACAUCAAUAAUUCUAAGCAUCACUUGUUUCCAAUGAUUUGGCUCUUUCUUGAUUUGCAUUUGAAAUUCUUUGUCAAUUGUCUGAUUUUUUGUCAAUCUACUUUUCAACUCAACCCAAGUUCUCGAAUUAAUGAGAUGCUCUUUACUCUUUUCAUAUUGGUCAAGCUUCUUACCAAGAUGUCUCCAAUCACUAGUUCCAUCUUUUGCUAACUCACUUUUUGAGGCAAUUAUUUUAAACAAUUUACAACAAAAGCAAAAGACUUUAUCCAACUCUUUUGAGUACACGAGCCAUUUCCUAUCGUAAAUUUUACCCGUUCGUAAUUUUCGAUCAUAGUAGUGUGAGGAAAAUUUUCUAGAGAAUUUGUCCUUAGGAUAAGUGAAUUAGUUUCUCAAAUUGGUCCUUUUUCUACAAGUAAGUCUCUCAUUUUUGCAUUAAGACCAUCCCAAACUAUUGGAUCAUAAAUGUCUAAAUGAAAAAUAGGUUCAAGAGAUUCAAUAUUUUCUUCUACACCAAAAUGAUCAUCAUCAACAUUUAAAUCCACAUCACCACCAUUUUCAUGAUCUUGAGACUCAUCACCAACAUUUUCCUCUAAAUCACCACAAUUUUCUUGGUCAUGAGACUCGUCAUUAACAUCUUUCUCCACAUAACCACAAAUUUCAUCAUCAUGAGACUCCCCAACAAUAUUUUGUGACUCUUCACCAACAUCAUUUUCUCUCAAAUUUUCAACCGACUCAUUCUUUAUAGAAUUUUUUUUAUUAAGAGAUCCUCUUAAACUUUAGGCAAUUUCGUUAUCCUUUGCCUUUUUUUUCCUUUUCAUAUUACUAGAGAGUUAUUUUCUAAAAGACAUGGCUUUGAUAAUUUGUUUGCAAAAAUUACCUACAUAUGAUAUAACAAAAAUUUCCUAUUAAAAUUAUCAUCAACAAUUCAAAAAUUACCUACACAUGAUAAUCAAGAAUUCAAUUCAUCAACAACAACAAUUCUAUACAUCAAUUAUCAUAUAAUUCUGUCACUUGCAAAAUUUAUAUUAAAUUAUGAAUUAAUAAUUCAAAUUAAAAAAUUAGUUUACCUCAAAACUCAAAAGGGUUGUUGAAUGCAAGGACUUGUGGGCCUGUGGCUGUCGGGUUUGGAAGCUGUAGCCUGCAGCAGCGCAACAAAUUAUCAGACGGUAAGGGCUAGGGCAGUGGGGUAACAAUGGGGUGGGGAAUCGGGAAAAAGGGGAACUUAGGGUUAAUUGGGGGGGGGGGGGGCGGGGACGAGUGGUCCCCUUGUGUUGUUAUUUUUUAUUUUUUUAAUGGCCAAAACCUGGGCUGGUCUUUUUUUUUUAAUUUUUUUAUUAUUUAUAAAUGCCCAAAACCUGGGCCGUUCCCUUCAUUUUCAAACUUGGGCCUCUUGCCCUCUAGUUCUUAUUUUGGGCUCUGGACAAAUUUUUUUUAUACCUAAUUAUUUGGACUUUUUUUUUGGUGCCCCUUUCAAUUUUGGGCCUUGGAAUGGCCCUGGUUGCACUGGGCCUGGGCCGGGCCUGCCCAUGUAUAUGUUAUCUUGUGAUUUGACAAGUCAUAUGUAUAUCAUAUCAAUUUUAUCUCAAUUGUGGUGAUGGUACAUAAUACUUACUACAUCGUAUGGCAACAAAUAAAUAUGGGCAUAAAGAUAAAUAGAAUGGUAUCAGUAAAUUAAGGUCUUCACAUUACGAUUAUAUUUAUCUCUAUUUUUAGUGGAAAGUUUUAAGGAUAAUUUUUUUUCUGCCUCCUACAUGGGUCUCGAUUCUCCUCUACGGUAAAAAUCCGUAUGUUUUAAAUAUUGAAAAGUUAAUUUAGCCCAAAUCCUUGCCUAUUUUAGGGAAAAUAAAAAAAAUUCAUUUUUAACCCUUUGAUUACUUAUAUCACCUAGUAUAACCUUUUUUUUUGUGUGAUACAAACAAAUAUUUUUGUUUGGGCCCAAAAUAUUAUUUUAGGCUGAGCUUAGGUCAUUCUCGGCCUAGUGGCAUUCAUUUAGAAUUUUGUUAUGGGCCGUCCAGUUAAGGUCAGCCGAAUCCUAUUAUGAAAAGGUUUGGUUUGGAUAAGGGUGAGUUGGUCGAUACUAGUGCAACAAGGAUUCUGAAGACUAAGGACAUUGAGAAUUAAAGGGUGAAUUUGGUUUGUUAAGAAGCUUGGUUCAAAGUCCUACAGGAAUUAGGAUUGGUUGAAACCUGAUCGGAUUGGGUUGAGGAGUUCUAAUCCUAGUCCAUUUCUAGUUCGGCUAUGAGGGGAUUCAUUAUUAUAAAUAGAGAAGGGAGUGCAUCAUUCAAAGCCCCUCCAAUUCAACACACAAAUUGCCUUGUGCAAAGCUUCUCAACAACCUUUGAGAUUUUAUCCACUUCCUCUUUCUUUUGCCAACACAUCUUCAGUUUGGAUAAAUAGCACUGUGAAGGCAACCGUCGACAUCUUCAGUUUGGAUAGACUGCACUAGAGCCGUAAAAUUAGCCGACCAAGGAGCACCUUUAGUUUGGAUGGACAACACUGCUUUGAGGCCGACUGGCUAUUUAUUCAAGUCUCGGCUGAGAAGGAUUUUCAAAUCCUUGUUGGUAGAGGUCAUCUCGUCAGCCUUCUCGGCAAAGUGAGGUGUUACAGGUUUCUGGGCUCGGCACAUUGAACGUUGAGUUUUGUUUUAUGAUUAGAUACUCACAAGUAAGUUUUAGAGUUUGGCAUUCCGAUGGCCGAAUCACAUUUACAAUCAAGAUAUAUAUUUCUUUCGAGUAUUUGUGUCUGUAUAGUUUGGUACCAGUUCGGCAUGCUUAUACUCUCACGAAUAUAAUCACUAUGAUCGAACCUGAUGCCGAUGAUUUGUGAACUUCAUAGAACUAGCAACCUUGUCUUCAGGCAUUAUAAUCCAAAGGCCGAGACAUGUUCCUUCAUCGAUCGCAGUCGUAAGAUCGAGAAGUCAGCAGCGCGCCCAACGAGACAUCAACACAUUCUAUUCCUCGACCGAGUUGGCACGCCCUGCACAUAACUGAAGGACGUAGUUAGCUUAUUAGUUACUCAGCCUAUGCGUCACGUAGGCUUCAUAGUUUUUAGUGUCAACAUUUUGGCAUGCCCAGUGGAACCCAGUGUUAAAGCUACGAAGUUCAUGACCAUUGAGACACGGUCAGUAAAAAAGAAACCAGUAAUGGGAAAGUUGACAACUAAUCUUCCAGUCUAAAACUCAUGACAAGAUGGGUUGUUAUAGACACAGAUUCAUGCUGCUGCCAUGACACCUGAAGCCACAAGUGCGACAUGCCGAGAAAAGGAAGUGAAUCUUGGCAAUCAGCCUUGUGGUGCAGAAAUCCCCACCAAAACGACAAAAGGCAUUUUUGUUGAAGGAAUAGUGGAUGAUUAUGACGAGGACGGUGGUAAGGCCUCUGAUCCACCAACCAGGUCGUUUUUUCGACGACGACUUGAAGAGUAAUCUUGACAACUUGAGCAGAUGUUCAGCCGAGAGAUAAAAAAACAUAUUUAAAGAAAUGCGUGAUAAUAUCGCUGUACAUAAUUUAUUGCUCGAAGUUCUGGUUAGUAAAGUCCAUGACAUUGGACCCACCAAUCGAUCCAGGCAUCAUUUUUUCAGGAAUAACCCACUACCAAUAGUACAGGUCGAGACAUAAUCCACUUGGCUCAAAAUGAUUAACUUACAGAAAAGUGGUGGGUUAAUCAGCAGAUCAAACGGAUUCGACCAGAGAGCGGAAACGACAUAUGUUGAUAUGGUUGAAGUUUAGAGAAUGAUUGAUUCGGCCUUGAAAAAUGGGCCAAAGUUUCCAAAAUUCAUUCACCCAU